rnacentral:rRNA from 1 species
GACGAACGCUGGCGGCGUGCUUAACACAUGCAAGUCGAGCGGUAAGGCCCUUUCGGGGGUACACGAGCGGCGAACGGGUGAGUAACACGUGGGUGACCUGCCCUCAGCUCUGGGAUAAGCCUGGGAAACCGGGUCUAAUACUGGAUAUGACUCCAUGACGCAUGUUGUGGGGUGGAAAGCCUUGUGCGGCUGAGGAUGGGCCCGCGGCCUAUCAGCUUGUUGGGGGGUGAUGGCCCACCAAGGCUGCGAUCGGUAGCUGGUCUGAGAGGAUGAUCAGCCACACUGGGACUGAGACACGGCCCAGACUCCUACGGGAGGCAGCAGUGGGGAAUUUUGGACAAUGGGGCAACCCUGAUCCAGCCAUGCCGCGUGCGGGAAGAAGGCCU